rnacentral:rRNA from 1 species
UACGUAGGGUGCAAGCGUUGUCCGGAAUUAUUGGGCGUAAAGAGCUCGUAGGCGGUCUGUCGCGUCGGCUGUGAAAACUCGGGGCUCAACCCCGAGCCUGCAGUCGAUACGGGCAGACUAGAGUGCUGUAGGUGAGACUGGAAUUCCUGGUGUAGCGGUGAAAUGCGCAGAUAUCAGGAGGAACACCGGUGGCGAAGGCGGCCCUCUGGACGGUGACUGACGCUGAGACGCGAAAGCGUGGGGAGCAAACAGG